AUGAGUCCUUUUGUUCAUCUGAUAAAUGUGUGAUCUUAGCCUCCUCAUCUGGCUUCACGUUUUGGACUUUCUCUGAGAGAUGAUCAAGAUUAGAAUGUGCAUCAGUGAAUUGGGUUUGGAGAUUGAUAUUCUGAUCCUCUACAAUUUGGUUUAGAUCCUCUACUCCAUGCAUCUUUUUUUCCAUCUUCGUCAGUUGGUCAUUCAAUUUAUGUUUGUCGUUGAUAAGAUUCUCCUUAUCCUUUUCCAGAAUUCGAAUCUGCUCGUGAAGUUCAUCAGUUUCUGUUCUCAGUCUCUUCACCAUAGCGCUCUGCGAUGAUACUGAAGUUUCCAAAUUGAUCACUUUGUUCACUAGCUCAUCAAUCUUCUCUGCCAUCUCUGCUACACUGAAUGAUGAAUUGGAGCUAGUUUCAAAGUUCUCUUUAAGGUUCUUUUUUAAUAAUUGCAGCUCCUGCUUCUUCCGAGUCAAAUCAUUGGCAUUUUCAUCUAACUCUGUUUCUGCUAUUAUUUUUAAAUCACUUUGGAUCCCUGGCUCUUUAGAAUUCUUCCGUUCAUAAUGGAAUUCGUCCAUGAGAGAGCCCACCUUGGCCUUGACAUCCUUUACCCUUUUGGACUCGAUUUUAGUUUCAUCAAGUGAUCUUUCCUGUUUCUUUUCUAACUGCGUCAAUGCCUCUUGGCAUGAUUGAAGAGCAGCUCCUGCUAUCAAACGCCGAGCUUCAUCAUCUUCAAUGUCAACACCUUCUCCAAGUUCUUCAUGCAGAGAGGAAACUCUCUCUUGCAAUUCCUUUAUUUGCUCCUCAGUGUCCCAGUACCUACUAAGGGAAUUCUCAUAAGAGUUCUUUGCAAAUUCUUUCACAGUUUGUAGGGCCAGAAUCUCUUUCUGCAGCUUGUCAAUCUCUUCAAGGGCAUCUUUUCUGCUCAAACCAGAUUUAGGAACUUUUGGAGUAGCAGCAGCUGCAGUGGCAGCUGCUAUCUUGGAUUGCAAUUUCUUUGUGGCUGUUGCUGCUGUUAUGACCGUUUUCAAAUCUUUAUGGGGAGGCUUUGGUAUAUUUUUCAACCCUUCUGUUUUUUUUUUUGGAAGCCUUUGUGAUGGAUCAUCGUCAUCUUCAUCCAUAAGUGGGACGCGAUCUGGAAAGACAGAAGCAAUGGUGUUGUUGGCAUUUUGUAACUCUGUUGAUAUGUGAUCAUAUCGUUCGGCUAAAGCCCGGUAAGCCUUGAAUGAUUCCUCCACAAAGAUUAUCAGUUCCGGUCUCCUUUUGUAAUACAUUUCUGCUCUCUUGGCAAAAGAGUCACCCUCUUCCGCUAAGAGCUUCAUAACACUUUGCACUUUUUCCUCCAUAUCUGCAGUGUUGUUUAUAUAUUUUAGAUACCCAACUAAAUUCAUUUAUAAAGGCAAAGACACAUAAAAGUGGGCUGUGUUCAUCUUACACAGUCAUCUAGCCGUGGCUCGAGCAAAUUUUUAAUUCAGUAUUCUAAUUCAUAAUAUGGAAACAGGUAUGUAUCCUUAUAUCCACAUGUUAAGCAUCUCCGUAAAUUCUAAGUUUAUAGGAAAUUACUUCAAUAACUUCAAGGAAUGCAAACUACAAUUUCUCAAAAAAGCAUAUGUUCGAUGAGAGAAAAUGAAGCUAAUCAACAUCAGAAAGGCAUUUUAUCAAGAACAGGGGGGAGAUGGAGUCAUUCUAUGCCGCAAUUUCUCUCUCAAAUUGGCCAAAGUUAGCAUUACAAUUUGAGAAAAUUCUAUUAAAAAAGUGAUAAAGGAGGUGCAUGCGUACCCUCUGAUUAGUAAAGGUUCAGAUUUGAAAAUCAUAGCAGGUUACGAAGUAUUUUCAGAAUCCAUAUAAAGCAAUCAAACCUUGAGCAUGAGUAACAUCAAAUCCUUUUCUUAAGCGUCUCUCCACUCAUGCAGUCGAAUUACCCGAUUACGGAUAAAUGUUCUUUAGAUAACACAAUUUUAAUACAAGGCAUGCAUAAUUUAAAGAUUUAAUUCCAUGGUGAAUUCAAAUUGACCAUCUAAAGCGCGCGCACACACACAAACACAUUUAUAUAAUAAUCUAACGUUGAAAGCAAGGCAGAGAAGCUACCCGUUUACAUCACAUCCAUGAAUGUUACAAAAAUUCAAUCAGAAAAAGGAAGCUGAUCAUGCCUUUACUAUGAGAAAGGAAAAUGAAGAUAAAGUCAUGAUCACCUUGAAGGUUUUGCUCCAUCCAUUUUGAUUGUUUUGUUCGGAUGUGGCUAACCCACCACCAUGAAUAAGCAUUGCUUGCGGCUCUCUGCAACAUAUUGGUUGCUUGUUUGUUGUGUUUGUGGUCGUGAUUGGUGUGUAUUGAGAUUUUAAUAAGGUGAGAGUGAAAAUCAUGCAAACCGUGUUUCUCCUAUUUCUCUAUCCGUUUGAGAUGGAGAAGAGAAGACAUGGAUUCCAUGACAAGAAAGGGAGUAAGGGAAGAGAGUGGAAAAAAAAAAAAAUAAGAGAAAAAGAUAAUGAAGAGAGAAAACGUGGGAACUAAGAUGUUGUGCUAAUUAUGGGAUGAUGGAGGGGAGCAAAGUUCGCACCAAUUUAUUGUGCAAACCUUACUUUUCAAAAAGCAUUGCAAUAAAAUGAUAUAAAGAAUGACAUAAUGCAUGCAUUCAAAGCCCCACGUGCCUUUUCCAUUCUCCAGCUUUCCUUGCUUUUUACACCUUUCAUCUCUUUCUCUCUUAAAUUAUACUCUCUGCGCUGUCAAACUCUUCAAACAACAAUCCAACCUCGAAUUUUCAAGCUUCCAUAAGCGAGUCAAAAUAUUACUUGCCAAAAAAAGUAAUUCUUUUUAAAAUUAAAUAAGCAUUUCCUUGAAAUAACCUAAUCCUAACAACUGAGAAGAUAACAUUAAAAUAUUACAUAUCACCAAAUUAAAUUCAUAAUUCAAAAAUUACUCUUUUAAUAUUUACAUGUUUUUAUAAAGCUAUAAACUUCAUUAGAUUAGAUUAGAUUAACUAGUUAGUUAUAUCCUUAAGCUGAUAUUUUCUUGAUCGCAAAUCUUCAUUUCAAAAGAUAUUUUUUCUUCACUUCUCCCACCAUACUGCUAUGAAGUUGACUUUCAGGUUAAAAUUAACUUAUUAUUUUAUAAUAUUAGAUCCAAAAUCUGUAACGUCCCGGCAACUUACAGGAACUCUUAGUCAUGGAGUUUUUAUGGGUUAGGCUACCGAAAAGCAAAUGCAUUUUGGUGAUAUAGAUAGUCAAAUCAAUUCCUUUAAGCUAUCUUUCAACCGUAUAAUGUCAUACCUAUACAGUCUCUAGAUCCCUCUCAUUCCGGUGUAUGUUCAAUUCGUUUAUGUAUCCUUUCCACUGAAAGUCUGUCAGGAGUCACUCCUUGUCCGUGCCUCCUGUAUCAUGUCUCUUGCAUCGGCGAUCACUCUCCACCCUCUUUAGUGUCUGGAUGUCACAAUAUCUAUUUUAAUUAAAUUUAUUAUUUUAUUGAAUUAUUUAUUUUAGUUUAUGAAUUAGUGUGAGAAAAUAUAAAUGUGUCUGUUUUGUGAAAUUUAUGAAAGGAAAAAGUUGCAUAGGAAAGGUGUAAUGAAGGUGGCGGUGGCCGACUUCGCAGAAAGAUGAGACUUUGUUGACAAAGUUUAACAAAGCAUCUGAGAGAGAAAUAAAAAUACAAAAUUUCGUCUUUCUGUUAUUUUUGGAGGCACGUUCUGUUAACUACUUUGGCCUGCAAUGACGUUAUAAAUAUCAAAAUGUUUAAUAAUUUUAGAAACCUCUUUGACUAAUAUAAUACCCUUGUUUUCAGCUUCUACCUUUCUUCUAAUCUAACUCUAAAAGAUUAUAUCACCUCAAUAACAUAAUUUAACUCAAAACAUCAUAACUAAUUACUAUCCUAAAUAUUUAAAAUAAUAAAUUUUGUUUUAGGUUUGGAGUACACUUACUUUUUUUUUUAAAAUUAGUUUUUGAAUGAUUAAUUAUAAUAAUUAAGUUUUAAUUAUAGUUCAAUACUGUUUAAGUAUGAUUUUAUCUUAUUAAAAGUUAAUUUUUGAACCGUUUGUAUGUGAUUGUUGUAAUUGACGAUUCGAUUAAUCUAGUUGCGAUGUAUUUCUUAGUUGACUUAUUAUGUGAUUGAUUAUCGAUAAUUGUAGAUUAGUAAAUCCAUACAGUAUACAUUUUCUAUCGAUUUUUCAAAAAUCAGAACUUGUAAUUAGAAAAAAUCAGCUAAAACUCGGAAUUAGAUUUUUAAAUAACCGAUUUCUAAAUCAGAUUUUUAGUUUUUGAUUUCAUUUAAAAAUAAAGAAGGAAAGUAUUUUCAGAAAGAAAAAUUAAUUACAAGAAACAAUAAAGAUCUCUGGAAAAGAAAUUAUAUUAUAUAUCCAAAUAUUUAACACACUAUAUUGUCGAAAUAAAUUUUAGAUCAAAGUGUAGUAUUUGAGAGAAAAAUCAUAAAAUGCAGAGUUACAUAAACAUAGGAGUAUGUUUUAGUAAUGGGUAUUUUUUGUUUGUAGAAAAAAAUAAUUACAUUUGAUAAUUUAGUUUCGUAAAUUUAAAAAUAGAAGAAAAUUAUACUCACUGCCAAGUUUUUACUUGAAAAGAAAGUGGGAGAUUUUCAAAAUUGUUUAUAUUUUGAGGGGCAAAAAGAUUGAUUCGCUUCGUUUUCAUCAAUAAAAUGACGUCUCAACAAAUUUUAAUCAUGUACAGCAAAUAUUAAUAUUCAUUUAUUAAGAGGUUAACUCUUUUAGCAUAUGAUAUUUUAUUUUAUUUUUAAAAUAGUUUUAUGUCGAAAAAUAUUAAAAUAAUUCUGUCGACAGUAGUCAUAUUUUGUUUUUUAGAUAUUUUCUUUUAGUUUUUUUUAAAGUUUUUAGUAUUCUUAGCAAUAGUUGGUAGCAUUCUUAAUAUUUGUUUUUAAAAGUUGAGAAUUAUAAAGUAAAACAAUAACAUAGAAGUGGCAAUCAACACAUGAAACUUUUGUCUCGAGGAUCGUAACUUUACUUUUUUAAGAGAGAAAACACUUUUCUAUAAGAGUUUUAUUUUUACAUAUCUUUGGUAUAGUUUUUCUUUCGAAAAAUAUAUUUUUAUUAUCAACCAAUGAAAAAUAGAUGGAAUUGUAUUUUUGUCGGUUAAAAAUUUUAUUUAAAAUUUUGAUUUUUACAUUAUAGUUUAAUAUUAGAAUUUUGUAAUUUUUUUUUUCAUUCUAAGUUCAUUAUAAAGGAUAAAAAUCUAGAAAAUAAAAUAUUAGAGUAGAUAGGUGUAUUAAAAUAAUGAAACGAACAAUUUUUUUAAAAAAUAAUUUAUAAUAUAAAUAUAAUUUUCUAAAGCUCAGUUCGUUAUCUAAAAGCACAUCAUCUCUUUAAAACUUUCAUUCUCUACUCUUUCUCUACCUUCUCUUUAACUUUCCUCCUUACUCAAUUAUCUGUUCGACGAUCAGGUGCCUAAGCGAUCCUGACAUUGAGAGCUACACUUACCACUGAUAAGUUUCUUGUCCUACCGGCAAGUCGUUUUCCUGUUCUUUCGUGCAUUUUGGGGCUGUGAGCAUGCAUCAGAUUCUGGUUGCAUGUGCUUUGCACUCUCUCUCUUCAAUUCUCAGCUUAAUUUAGGUUCUAAGAAUUGUCUCCUAUCACCAGUAGGUGUUUUUAGAGUUUCCUUGCGGUGCAAGGCAUGAUUGGAACCCUUUUGUGAGUUGGGCAGUGUAUAUUCAAGAUAAGGGAAGCUGGACUAUAGUCUUAACUGUGUUAUUAGUAUGUUAGUUCUAUUAGGUUUUAAUUUACUGUGUUGAAUUGAGCUGAAAUUAGGUUUUUAGUGAAAUAGGAUUUUGUGUGUUUUGUUGAUUAUGAUGCAUGAACUUGAUUGAUGCUGGAUGAUAUGUUUAAUUGCAUGUUGAUUGAGGUACUAUGAAUGAUUUUGGGUAUAUGAAAUCUGUUAUAAGUGUGAGAACUAAUAAUCUAGCUGGUUUAUGUUGGUUUUAAGUGAAUUUGGAGGAAAUGAGGUAGUCAAAUUGAGAAUUAAGGACUAAAGGCUGUUUUGGUCAGUUGGGAUAACUUAGACAAGUCAUAUGGGACCUAAUUGGAUCCCUAAAAGGUUCAAGAAACUAUGAAAAGUGGUAGAAUUAGAUUUGAGUCCCUAGGUUGAUGAACUUGAGGUUAUAAAGUAAGAAAUUGUUCAAAAACACUUUAGAUUAGUAGUAAGAAGGUUUAGAAUCACUUAGACAAGUCUAAUUAGGUAUAUUAUACAAUCUAGGAGUGUUAGAAGUUGGGAAAAAUGGUUAGAAUUGGUAAUUGGUGGUUGAGUUGCAUAAUUCUGUAGAAUCUCAUUCUGCAGAUUAUGCAGACUCGCUGAGCGAAAGAAUUCGCACAACGAGUCACCCUGGCGAGAUGCUCUCUGCCAGGACACUCGCACAACGAUUUUGUAUGCUGUACUAGUGGUUGAAGAGGGUUGUUCUCUGUUUAGUGAUUCACAUAGGGAAUCAUGUCACUGUGCGUUUGGUGGAGGUUUGGAAUCACUGUCAUUUUAUUCGAAUAAUGAAUGAGUGUGCUUUGCGAGUGUUUGGGAAGUUUGAGUCUUUGUCUAGGGGCUCUCGCAUAGCGAUUUGGGGCGCUAUGCGAGGGUGAGAGGUCUGGAACUUCUGUAAGUUUAUUCCUACAACGGGCUUAGUCGCUGUGCGAAUGGUCGUGAAUGGUAGGUCUCUGUUUGAGGAUUCACAUAGAGAGUUGGGGUCGCUAUGCGAAUAUUUCUGGGUUCGCUAUGCGAAUUUUGUGCGCUAAGCAAAUGGUCCAGGUUUUAGUUUGUCUUUUCCUCCUUUCUUUCUGAUGGUGUAUUGAUAGGUUUGACAUUAAGUAAAGAUUAAUGGGUGACGAAUAUGAGACAUGAAUAUCUUUUAACUGUGGUGUGAUUUAUGGCUUGAAUCCUAUAACUCAAGGUGAGAUUAUUAGAGGUGAUUGCAGAUGAUAAGGUUAUUGUGUGGUAUAAAUGUAUGGGGUCUAGAAAUGGUAAGUCUAUUCCGAUUCUCUGAUGAUCAUUUAUUCUCAAGUAGAGAGGGAUGAUACAUGUGGUGAGAGUGGCCGGAGGUUCAUGUCUAUAGGCUUAGAGUUUAGAUAUGGACAAUAUAUAUGAACUAACCUUGUAUAGUGUUAGAGAGUGCCAACAGGACUAUACAAGUGCAAAGACUACCAAAAGUUUGACAUUUAUACUAAUUCAGAUGAGUCGUGUUAAGUAUAGUUGAGUUGGUAUUUUGUAUGCAUUGGACUUUUUAGUUUGAUUGUGUUAAAUAAUGAUAUAAACAUGAAUGUUUCUUAUUUAUCUAGCUUACCCUUCUGUUUGUGAUUUUAUUUUGUAUGUUUGAUGUUUUUCCUUUUGCUAUGAUCAUCCUGUAGAUGUGAGCAGAGAAGGAUGAAAUAACUUUGAAACAUGUUCUGGAUGAUGAGAAUGCUCCAGCACAGUAAACAUUAGAUUAGCCUUAAGAAUAGUUUUAGGAUAGUCA
rnacentral:lncRNA from 1 species